UACGUAGGGUGCAAGCGUUGUCCGGAUUUAUUGGGCGUAAAGAGUUCGUAGGCGGUUUGUCACGUCGGAUGUGAAAUCCCAGAGCUUAACUCUGGGCCUGCAUUCGAUACGGGCUGACUAGAGUGUUGUAGGGGAGACUGGAACUCCUGGUGUAGCGGUGAAUGCGCAGAUAUCAGGAAGAACACCGGUGGCGAAGGCGGGUCUCUGGGCAAUUACUGACGCUGAGGAACGAAAGCGUGGGGAGCAAACAGG
rnacentral:rRNA from 1 species